GCCUUAGCGCGGUGGUCCCACCUGACCCCAUGCCGAACUCAGAAGUGAAACGCCGUAGCGCCGAUGGUAGUGUGGGGUCUCCCCAUGCGAGAGUAGGGAAC
rnacentral:rRNA from 1 species